GAUGAACGCUGGCGGCGUGCCUAAUACAUGCAAGUCGAGCGAACGGACGAGAAGCUUGCUUCUCUGAUGUUAGCGGCGGACGGGUGAGUAACACGUGGAUAACCUACCUAUAAGACUGGGAUAACUUCGGGAAACCGGAGCUAAUACCGGAUGAUAUUUUGAACCGCAUGGUUCAAAAGUGAAAGACGGUCUUGCUGUCACUUAUAGAUGGAUCCGCGCUGCAUUAGCUAGUUGGUAAGGUAGCGGCUUACCAAGGCAACGAUGCAUAGCCGACCUGAGAGGGUGAUCGGCCACACUGGAACUGAGACACGGUCCAGACUCCUACGGGAGGCAGCAGUAGGGAAUCUUCCGCAAUGGGCGAAAGCCUGACGGAGCAACGCCGCGUGAGUGAUGAAGGUCUUCGGAUCGUAAAACUCUGUUAUUAGGGAAGAACAUAUGUGUAAGUAACUGUGCACAUCUUGACGGCACCUAAUCAGAAAGCCACGGCUAACUACGUG
rnacentral:rRNA from 1 species